rnacentral:lncRNA from 1 species
GUCUGGGCCAUGACGCUGUCUCUGGUCUGGGCUAGCUAUCAUCUGGUUGGUAUCUGGACUCAUGCAGCACUGACCACCUCCUCAAAGGGUGGCACUAGGGGGAGCUGACUCCAUCCCUUGCCUGGUCAGUAUGACUGUGGUGAUACUUUGUUUAUGAUCUAACAAUAAAGCUUGCCUAAGGAUCAGAGCGCAGAGCUAGCCACACUAGUUACUCAUAGAGGCCAGGCAGUGGUGACACAUACCUUUAGUCAUAGCACUCUGGAAACAGGGGCAGAUGGAUUUCUGUGAGUUUAAGGCCACUCUGGGCUACAGGAGAUCGAAUAUGUCUAAAAGAGAAGCGGAACUCACACCAAGGUGAUCCCAGCACUUGAGAUCUCAUGCCUUUAAUCCCAGCACUAGGUCUGUGGAGACAACAGUGAUAGGGCUGAGCAGAGAGAAGAAUAUAAGGCAGGAGGAGACAAGAGAGAGAUGCAAUCUGAGGAUUUGGAGAAAUGUAUGCAGUCUAGGCAGUCUAGGAGUCAGUCUGAAGCAGGCUGCCUGAGGGCAGUCUGAGCAGCAGUUAGUCUGAAGCAGUCAGUCUGAGGAUGCAGUCUGAGGACAGGAUGGCCCCUUUGGUAUGAGCAUUGGUAAAGGAGUUUGUUUGUUUGUUUUGAAGGGCCUGACGAUAAUGGAGCUUUUAAGAUCUGAGUCUGAAGAAACUGGGAAACUAGAAUUCCAGGCAGUUGCUCGCUGCAGCGGAGCAGCUGCUGCCCAUCCGUGGAGGCUUUUCUGCUGGCACAGAAGCAACACCAGGACUACCCAGGCUGACUGGACCCUGCUCAGCUUCCGGGCCAGGCUGUGACCCAGGUGAUAAAUGCCAGAGUAAUCCACAGCCCUUGUACAAGUAUCGUGGAGAUUUUUUGACAGCUGAAAUCCACUUUAUUGUGUUAACUUAUUUAGAAUGCUUUAGUGUUUUCAAUAAUCACAGUAGUCUUGUGUGCUCCUUUAGGUUAAGCUGACCAUUGAUUUUUAAAAUAAACCAUAAAUUCAUUCACUAGACAUACAUAGGUUUUUCCUCCUGUAAUGAUUUUAAUAAAACACAUUUCUUCAUCACGAACCAGUCAGUGCAAAUGAAUGUGUCUCUGUCACUGGUUGAUACAUAUGUAGGCUUUUACUACAGUGUGAAAGGUGCUGGAGAGAUGGCUCAGCCAUUAAGACCAUGUACUGACAUUGCUCAAGAGCCGACCAUCAGAUGGCUCACAACCACCUAUAUAUAACUCCAUUUCUAAGGUAUCCGCUAGCAAUGUCUUCUGGCCUCUAGGCGCGACACACACACACAAAUGGAAAAAGAAAGUUGGGCACAGAAGUUUGAGUCUCACCAACUCAAACUUCAUAUGACCUUUACAGCAUUUCUUUUUCUUGAGCCGUUAGUUUUGUAAUUUGAAAGGUUCACUACAGAGAUUUUUAAAAAGUUUCUAAUGUUCUAAAGUAAAUUAGGUUACUAUGUUUGACAGUGUUUGCAUAUUUCACAAUAUCAUAGAGAAGACUUCAAACAUUCUCAACACAAAGAAAUAGUAACUGUUUACUGCUGGGGACACCAAUUAACCCCAAUCUAUUAGGCAUUGAAUGUUGUAUAUGCAUGUUGACAUACUACAUGGUACUUUACAAAUACAUACCCAUUGUGUCAAUUAAAAUUUAAAAUGCUCUUUGACUUUUAAAACUAUUUGUUGAUUAGCAAAUAUUUAUUUUAUAUGUCUCAAACUAUUUAAAAGGAAAUUCAUUGAGAAAACUCAACCUUUUCUAAUCCAUUUUUGUCUUAGGGAUCUGCAGCCCCUUAAGAAUUGCUCCCAUGUCAUCCUCGACCUCCCCUGACUAUGCCCUCAUUGACGUGGCCAGGCACACCUGUAGGGGCUCCUAGGAGGCAGGGCUACAGUGUCUCCCUACAUGGAGCUACCUAAGAUUCCUAUAUAGUCCAUCCCUCAUGUGUCACUUCUCUAGUGUAAAUUCAGAGAGGAUUGAAAGAGUGAAUUAUGAAAGAAGUCACAUCAGGAAAUGCAAGGAUUCAAAUGGCUCUGCACUAGGAACCUAGGACAAAGAACAAGUACCUUUUAUUACUGUUACUAUUGAAGGAACCAGCUUCCUUUUGGCAGCCAUAACAGCCGAACACGUGCUUGCCAUAAACCUGCCUUGGUCACGUAGAGGUCAGAUGCCUGUCUCGUGACAAGGAACCUUAGUCACUUAGAGGUCAGAUGCCUGUCUUGUGACAAGGAACCAAUCAGAAGUUAGCUGGUGGCGCUAUGCUUUACGACCCUGGGUGUGCUUUACGGACAAGCGCACGACAAUGACGUAGAGAGCAUAGCAACCACCCUGGGAGGGCCUAUGAGCCAUAACAACCAGUUGACCAAUCAACACAGGGCAAGCCCUCCAAGCCUGGAGGCACACCAAUC